rnacentral:misc_RNA from 1 species
GAUGAAGACGCAGCGAAAUGCGAUACUUGGUGUGAAUUGCAGAAUCCCGUGAACCAUCGAGUCUUUGAACGCAAGUUGCGCCCGAAGCCACUAGGCCGAGGGCACGCCUGCCUGGGCGUCACACGUCGUUGCCCCCCACCAUCUACUCCUUCGGGAUUGCGGGGGGCGGAUGAUGGCCUCCCGUGCGCCUAGCCGCGCGGUUGGCAUAAAUACCAAGUCCUCGGCGACGCACGCCACGACAAUCGGUGGUUGCGAAACCUCGGUUGCCCGUCGUGUGCGUUCGUCGCGCAUCGAGGGCUCGAAAAAAUGCUCGGCUCCGGCUCGGCUUUCAACGCGACCCCAGGUCAGGCGGGGUUACCCGCUGAAUUUAAGCAUAUCAAUAAGCGGAGGA